rnacentral:rRNA from 1 species
GACGAACGCUGGCGGCGUGCUUAACACAUGCAAGUCGAACGGAAAGGCCUGCUUUCCCUUGUGGCUUGCGGGUACUCGAGUGGCGAACGGGUGAGUAACACGUGAGUGAUCUGCCCCCAACUUGGGUAUAAGCCUGGGAAAUUGGGUCUAAUUCUCGAUAGCACUGCAGGGUGGUGCCUGUGGUGGAAAACGUUUUUCGGGUGGUUGGGGAUGAGCCCGCGGCCUAUUAGCUGGUUGGUGGGGUAAUGGCCUACCACGGGGGCGACGGGUAGCCGGGCUGAGGGGGCUGAGGGGGACAGUGAGAAUGAGAAACGGCCCAGGGUCCGACGGGAGGCAGCAGUGGGGAAGAGUGGAAGAAGGGGGGAAGACUGAAGCAGCGACGCCGGGUGGGGGAUGACGGGCUGCGGGUUGUAAGCUGCUUUCGACCGCGAGGAAGCCACCUGGUUGGAAGGGUGGUGACGGUAGUGGUAGAAGAAGCACCGGCUAACUACGUG